AGAGCGAACGCUGGCGGCAGGCCUAACACAUGCAAGUCGAGCGCCCCGCAAGGGGAGCGGCAGACGGGAGAGUAACACGUGGGAACGUACCCUUCAGUUCGGAACAACCCAGGGAAACUUGGGCUAAUACCGAAUACGUCCGUAAGGAGAAAGAUUUAUCGCUGAAGGAUCGGCCCGCGUCUGAUUAGCUUGUUGGUGAGGUAACGGCUCACCAAGGCUACGAUCAGUAGCUGGUCUGAGAGGAUGAUCAGCCUCACUGGGACUGAGACACGGCCCAGACUCCUACGGGAGGCAGCAGUGGGGAAUAUUGGACAAUGGGCGCAAGCCUGAUCCAGCCAUGCCGCGUGGAUGAUGAAGGCCUUAGGGUUGUAAAGUCCUUUCGACGGGGAAGAGUAAUGACGGUACCCGUAGAAGAACGCCCCGGCUAACUUCGCGCCAGCAGCCGC
rnacentral:rRNA from 1 species